rnacentral:sRNA from 1 species
CGUUCUACGAAUUCAUAUGUACGUUUUUAACCGACUAUAAAAAUACAUGAUGCCAAUCGGCGGUAAAGUUGGUUAUGCUGAUAUGACAGCAAUGUCAGAAAUUGAUGAAAUUGGAAUUAACCAAAAUCUAAACGUUAGAUACAACAGUGACAUAAUAUAUACUUAUACAGGAUCAAUACUACUGGCUGUAAAUC